rnacentral:antisense_RNA from 1 species
GCGGGUAUGAGGGAGGCUAGCGGGGAGGGCCUUGCCCCAAGAGGCCCGGAGCGUGGACAGCGCACGGGGUGCUGAACCAGGCACGGGGAGGAAGAGUGCCGGCAACGGCGCCGGCCCGGGGAGGACGAGCAUUUCCAAUUAAUCUUGGAAUGAGAGCCGAGGGCAAGAAGCCAGCGGUGCCUGAGGGAUGCUAAAAAGCCAACCGAUCCAGGGAAACAAAUGCCAGCGAGGGACCCCACAGCAGAGAGACAGACACUGUGAGCAACUCUCCUGUUACCAUGAGGCUUGCAAGGCGUGUGCGCGGGUCUCCGCAUUGGCACCAUCUGCCAAUUCCUCAGGAGGACAGAACAAACCAGUGAGGCAUGAAGAUUAGAUUAUGUAACACUCGAGGAUUGCUGUUUUCAAAGAGGAAACAAAUGGAACGAAUUGAUUUGCUUGUCAAAGUCAUGUCACUAAAGGAGAUCUAUUCCCUCCCCUUCUAAGAGGACCUCAUUAAAGAGUUGAAUGAUUUCACAGAUUCAGAAAAUGUGAGACCACAAUCCACUCCAUUCAUAAGAGCAAGUCCACUUUCCAGAGUCCCUCUCACACAUUCUAUUCUGGUCCCUGGGCCUGAAAAAAUGUCCAUCCAGCUACAACCUAAAGGGUACUGACCUGGUGAGGAACAUAAUUGUCAGUUGCUAGCCAUAAGAUUCAGAGCUGGAGGCCAGGCGUCAUGGCUCAUGCUGGUAAUCCCAGCACUUUGGGAGGCCGAGGUGGAUGGAUCAUGUGAGGUCAGAAGUUCAAGACAGCCUGGCCAACACAGUGAAACCUCGUCUCUACUAAAAAUACAAAAAUUACCUGGGUGUGGUGGCACACACCUGUAACCCCAGCUACUCGGGAGGCCGACGCACGAGAAUCACUUGAGCCCAAGAGGCAGAGGUUGCAGUGAGCCAAGAUCACGCCACUGCACUCCAGGCUGGGCAACAGAGUGAGACGCUGUCUCAAAAAAAAUAAAAAUAAAAAAUCAGAACCUGUGA